rnacentral:rRNA from 1 species
ACAGCAGUAGCCGCGGUAAUACGAAGGGGGCUAGCGUUGUUCGGAUUUACUGGGCGUAAAGGGCGCGUAGGCGGACUGAUAAGUCUGAUGUGAAAGCCCACGGCUCAACCGUGGAGGGUCAUUGGGAACUGGGAGACUUGAGUGCAGAAGAGGAGAGCGGAAUUCCAUGUGUAGCGGUGAAAUGCGUAGAUAUUGGGAGGAACACCGGCGGCGAAGGCGGCUUACUAGACGACAACUGACGUUGAGGCUCGAAGGCGUGGGUAGCAAACUGGAUUAGAGACCCGCGUAGUCCCUGUCUCUUAUAC